GUGAGGGACAGGAAUGAUAUACUGACCAGCAGGAGAGGACAGUGGAGGAAAUGGUGAGGGACAGGAAUGAUAUACUGACCAGCAGGAGAGGACAGUGGAGGAAAUGGUGAGGGACAGGAAUGAUAUACUGACCAGCAGGAGAGGACAGUGAAGGAAAUGGUGAGGGACAGGAAUGAUAUACUGGCUGUCUGAAAUAAAGCAGGACAUUGAGGAGAACGAAGACACCUUUGCCAACGUGGCGUCCAUCAGCCUACCAUCAAUCUCCUGCCUUUUGAAGAGGCACCAGGUGUCUAUGAAACACAUUGAUGAAAUAAAUCACUAUUCAGGUACAUUACUAUAUACUGUAUACUAUUCAGGUACAUCACUAUAUACUGUAUACUAUUCAGGUACAGCACUAUAUACUGUAUACUAUUCAGGUACAUCACUAUAUACUGUAUACUAUUCAGGUACAGCACUAUAUACUGUAUACUAUUCAGGUACAUUACUAUAUACUGUAUACUAUUCAGGUACAGCACUAUAUACUGUAUACUAUUCAGGUACAGCACUAUAUACUGUAUACUAUUCAGGUACAGCACUAUAUACUGUAUACUAUUCAGGUACAGCACUAUAUACUGUAUACUAUUCAGGUACAGCACUAUAUACUGUAUACUAUUCAGGUACAUCACUAUAUACUGUAUACUAUUCAGGUACAUCACUAUAUACUGUAUACUAUUCAGGUA
ensembl:lncRNA